ACCAGAGUUAUUUACGACGGCUCCAUCCCUUUCAUUCCCAAAGCCAUUUCCAAUGCAGGGUUGAAGGCUUCACAAAUUGACUUUUAUGAAAUUAAUGAAGCUUUUGCGGUUGUGGCUCUUGCAAACCAAAAACUUCUUGGACUAAAUUCGGAAAAAGUAAAUGUACGUGGUGGAGCUGUUGCACUGGGUCAUCCUCUCGAUUGCAGUGGUGGUCGCAUUUUGGUGACGC